rnacentral:tRNA from 1 species
UGGGGUGUCGUCUAAUGGUAGGACAGCGGCUUCUGGUGCCGUAUGUGGGGGUUCGACUCCUCUCACCCCAGCCA